rnacentral:tRNA from 1 species
GCGCUCGUGCUGGAACCGGUAGACAGGCAUGGUUGAGGGCCAUGUGCCCGUAAGGGCGUGAGAGUUCGAGUCUCUCCGAGCGCA